GGUAGGCCUUGUAACCUAGUAUUAUUAGUUUGUUUUUCAUGUAGAGCAAUAUUUGGGCUCAGAGAUAGACAGGCACUGGUGGAAGACUAUAAAGAGAUGCAGCCAGCUGAAGAUGAAGUCAGAGAUGGGGUCAUGUACCUGUAAGCCAUGGGGUAUGAAGUAUUGUCAGUUGCCAUGAAGAGUCUAAUGCAGGGGCAUGGCAUGGAUUCUGCCUCACGGCUCUCAGAAGAGCCCUCCUACCAGCCUUGAAGUUAGACUUGGAGCAUCAGGAACUUAAAGACGAUACAAUUCUGUCAGCUAAGACACCCAUCUUAUGGCUGCUUUGAUACAACAGAAACGAAUAUGCCCCCCUCUGCCAUCUAUGUUGCGAACUUCAUCUGUCUCCACAGUCCUGCUCCCAGCAAGCCACUCGGCGAUCUCUCCCAUUGCACAAGCCUGAAGCCUGGAGAACUGGGCUGGCUUGACGUUAGGCGUGCAUAACAGUGACGGUUUAAUCGAGGCUCCCAGGUUAUCUUUGAAACCAGAGGACCAGGAAAAACAUUGUCUGAUCUGCAAAGAUUGUAGAACAACAGGACAAGAAGCAUGGGGCCUGAUUCCACGACAUCCUCUCACUCUCCUUUAUACCUGGCUAAUUAAACUUUUCUCAAACCA